AGAUCUGUUAUCAUAUGCUAAUUACCCAUAUCAUAUUUUAAUGACCACAUACUGUGGCCAUCGUGAUCAUAUAAACCCUAAUAAAUUAUAAACAUUCGAAUGUAAAAUUUCGCACGAUAGAUAAUGACAAACAAACGACGGAAAUUACAUAAUAAAUCCACAGCGUGUAUCUUAAUAUAUUUGUCAGUACAUGGAUAACCCGAAUAAUCCAGUCGUUAUAUUACGAUCACUUCGAUCACUCCAUUAACCAUUUCAUCGAGAAAAGUAGUGGAUAGGGGCUCUGAAUUAUUCGAUUUAGUACAUGGAGGAAAGAUAUUCAAAGAUUAGGAGCGACGAUUCAAUUUCCAUUUGUGUAUUGUAUUUGUCGUGGUUGAAACGGCACCAGGAACAUAUCAGGAUAGACAACAAAAGUCUAGUGAGAAAAAUGUUAUGCAACACCAGCAAAAAAGAUUAGAUUGUUAUUCAGUCCUGACUUAUACAGUGUUUCUGAAGAUGGAGAUUAGAUCAGGCCUAUCCAGAAGCAAGAAAAAGAACAAUUCAUAGCACGUUCAUCUACAGAGAAAGACAUGUUUAAAAAAACAGAUUUAUUUUCAAUUUUAGAAAAACCUGUUGAACUUUUACUAUUUCUUAUCUGUUUAUUUUACAUUUAUAUGUUGAUAUUUUUUUUUUAAAUUGCUGCACAGUUUUUCUAUUCAGUCCCAUAUAACAAAAAUAGUCAGAUCGCAACUUCAAAUAAAAUACAUUUUUAUGAAUGUUACAUGUCAUUAAAUAGACAUGAAAGAUGGAAAAUUAUAUAGGAACACAUUUUUUAUGACCUAAAUGUAUUGUCAAGGUAAAUUUAUUAUGUGAACAUAUCAAAUAUUAUAAAAAAUACUGCUGGUUUAAAAUAAAAUUAUUCUAUGUAGCCUAAUGUAU